GUUUGACAUUUGAAUUGGCCUCGGAAGAUUAUUUUUACGUUUUCCAGUAUAAAACAUGUGCAGCUUAUAACUGCUACUGAAGAUGCAUUUCUUGUUUUAUAUCUUUGACAGUUAUAAAAUAUGCAAUGAUCUCGGAACAAUUACCUACUUGAUUGUACAAACAUCCGGAACCGAUGAUGUUUUGCUCACGUAAUAGCCUUCGGUGUGCGUCACACAAAACGAAUGGGGAACGGAGCCGCUGGAUUGGAAUUGGAAGGCCAUACAUACCAGAGGGCACUAAAUUAGGGAGGGCCUACCGGAUAUUGGUGUAUACUGAAGUGGAAUAAUGUUACAAAAUUGAUGUGGCAAGCUCCGACUAAAUUACAUGUAUGUAAUUCGAGUGCAAAAACGUAUAGAACAUGGCAUCAUUACACGCCUUUAUAGAGAUUAAAUUCAAUGGAACCAUCAAGGAUCAUCCUCAGUUUACAACAGAUUUCGAGAAUGAUCAGGACUCCGGAGGGUGGACGGAACAGGAGGAAUCAAAAGAGGGAAGUAUAGAUCUCUGAACGAAUACCACUUAAAAUUUGUUUCCGAAGUUUAUGUUAAGUCGAAUUUUAUAAUUAUUCACAAACACUUCUGGGUGAAGUAUUUUUUUGUGAUAUCGGUUCGAAAAUAAAUUAGAAUGCAAAGUUUU